rnacentral:sRNA from 1 species
GCUGGGCACGGUGGCGCAUGCCUGUAAUCCUAGCAGUUUGGGAGAGUGAGGCAGGAGGAUUGUGAGUUCAAAUCCAGCCUCAGAAACUCAGCAAGACCUAAGCAACUUAAUGAGACCCUGUUUCUA